GAUAGUACCUUACUACAUGGAUAACCGUGGUAAUUCUAGAGCUAAUACAUGCUAAAAACCCCGACUUCGGGAGGGGUGUAUUUAUUAGAUAAAAAACCAAUGCCCUUCGGGGCUCUUUGGUGAUUCAUAAUAACUUAACGGAUCGCAUGGCCUUGCGCCGGCGACGGUUCAUUCAAAUUUCUGCCCUAUCAACUUUCGAUGGUAAGGUAUUGGCUUACCAUGGUUUCAACGGGUAACGGGGAAUUAGGGUUCGAUUCCGGAGAGGGAGCCUGAGAAACGGCUACCACAUCCAAGGAAGGCAGCAGGCGCGCAAAUUACCCAAUCCCGACACGGGGAGGUAGUGACAAUAAAUACUGAUACAGGGCUCUUUUGGGUCUUGUAAUCGGAAUGAGUACAAUUUAAACCCCUUAACGAGGAACAAUUGGAGGGCAAGUCUGGUGCCAGCAGCCGCGGUAAUUCCAGCUCCAAUAGCGUAUAUUAAAGUUGUUGCAGUUAAAAAGCUCGUAGUUGAACCUUGGGCCUGGCUGGCCGGUCCGCCUCACCGCGUGUACUGGUCCGGCCGGGCCUUUCCUUCUGGAGAACCCCAUGCCCUUCACUGGGCGUGCGGGGGAACCAGGACUUUUACUUUGAAAAAAUUAGAGUGUUCAAAGCAGGCCUUUGCUCGAAUACGUUAGCAUGGAAUAAUAGAAUAGGACGUGUGGUCCUAUUUUGUUGGUUUCUAGGACCGCCGUAAUGAUUAAUAGGGACAGUCGGGGGCAUCAGUAUUCAAUUGUCAGAGGUGAAAUUCUUGGAUUUAUUGAAGACUAACUACUGCGAAAGCAUUUGCCAAGGAUGUUUUCAUUAAUCAGUGAACGAAAGUUAGGGGAUCGAAGACGAUCAGAUACCGUCGUAGUCUUAACCGUAAACUAUGCCGACUAGGGAUCGGGCGAUGUUCUCUCUUGACUCGCUC
rnacentral:rRNA from 1 species